GAUGAACGGACCAAGUUACCCUAGGGAUAACAGCGCAAUCCUACUCAAGAGGCCAUAUCGACAAUUAGGGUUUAUGACCUCGAGUUGGUUCAGGACAUCCCAAUGGUAUAGCAGCUAUUAAUGAUUCGUUUGUUCAAACGAUUAAAGUCCUAUGUGAUCUGAGUUCAGACCGGAGUAAUCCAGGUCCGUUUCUAUC
rnacentral:ncRNA from 1 species